CCACAUCUACUCCAACAAGGCUACAUCUACUCCAACAAGGCCACACCUACGUGCCAAGCACAUUUAAACCACUACAGAGCUGCCACCAGGUCCUGAUCUUCCACUGCUUCCUUAGCCUAUUGGAAUCUGUAUCCACCCCGACCUUGCUAUCUGUGAGGACAGGGUCCCUGGAACAUGCCUCUUCAGCCUGCAGAGGGCAUGGUGUCCAGUGACAGUUGCCAUGACGAGAACCAUGAAGACGCAUGGAAGGAGUGAGGAGGCUUGGUGCCCAGAAAUGAAAUGCAUAUCCAUCCCUCCACAACACCUCUCUAGGUUGAGAGUCAUUUCCAGCUUGUCAAGCUACAGAAUAUUACACUACGACAGCCAAGAUGGCUUGAGAAUGAGAAGAAAUAAUGAUAAAUGAAGAAUGUUUGAAAUUCUGUGUACGCCUUGGAUCACUGAUUGUCAAAGUGAGCCUGAAGAGCACUCUGAAUGCCCAGAUACGCCAGAGAUAUCAAUACUAAUUUAAG